rnacentral:rRNA from 1 species
UACGGAGGGUGCAAGCGUUAAUCGGAAUUACUGGGCGUAAAGCGAGUGUAGGCGGUUGCAUAAGUCGGAUGUGAAAGCCCCGGGCUUAACCUGGGAAUGGCAUUCGAUACUGUGCGACUGGAGUCUGAUAGAGGGAAGUGGAAUUCCAGGUGUAGCGGUGAAAUGCGUAGAUAUCUGGAAGAACACCAGUGGCGAAGGCGGCUUCCUGGAUCAAGACUGACGCUGAGGCUCGAAAGCGUGGGGAGCAAACAGG